UGGGGAAUAUUGGACAAUGGGCGAAAGCCUGAUCCAGCCGUGCCGCGUGUGUGAAGAAGGUCUUCGGAUUGUAAAGCACUUUAAGUUGGGAGGAAGGGCAGUAAGCGAAUACCUUGCUGUUUUGACGUUACCGACAGAAUAAGCACCGGCUAACUCUGUGCCAGCAGCCGCGGUAAUACAGAGGGUGCAAGCGUUAAUCGGAAUUACUGGGCGUAAAGCGCGCGUAGGUGGUUCGUUAAGUUGAAUGUGAAAGCCCCGGGCUCAACCUGGGAACUGCAUCCAAAACUGGCGAGAUAGAGUAGGGCAGAGGGUGGUGGAAUUUCCUGUGUAGCGGUGAAAUGCGUAGAUAUAGGAAGGAACACAAGUGGAGAAGGCGACCACCUGGGCUCAUACUGACACUGAGGUGCGAAAGCGUGGGGAGCAAACAGG
rnacentral:rRNA from 1 species